UACGUAGGGGGCCAGCGUUGCUCGGAAUUACUGGGCGUAAAGGGUUCGUAGGCGGUGUGGCAAGUCGGAAGUGAAAUCUCUAGGCUCAACCUAGAGGCUGCUCCCGAAACUGCCAUGCUAGAGUGCGGGAGAGGCGAGUGGAAUUACAGGUGUAGCGGUGAAAUGCGUAGAUAUCUGUAGGAACACCCGUGGCGAAGGCGGCUCGCUGGGACCGCAACUGACGCUGAGGAACGAAAGCUAGGGGGAGCAAACAGG
rnacentral:rRNA from 1 species